CCUACGGGCGGCAGCAGUGAGGAAUAUUGGUCAAUGGGCGGAAGCCUGAACCAGCCAAGUCGCGUGAGGGAUUAAGGCCCUGCGGGUCGUAAACCUCUUUUGCCGGGGAGCAGAGGUCCGGACGUGUCCGGGCCGGGAGAGUACCCGGAGAAAAAGCAUCGGCUAACUCCGUGCCAGCAGCCGCGGUAAUACGGAGGAUGCGAGCGUUAUCCGGAUUUAUUGGGUUUAAAGGGUGCGUAGGCGGACUGUUAAGUCAGCGGUAAAAGCCCGGGGCUCAACCCCGGCGAGCCGUUGAAACUGGCUGUCUUGAGAUGUCGAGAGGUAUGCGGAAUGCGCAGUGUAGCGGUGAAAUGCUUAGAUAUUGCGCAGAACUCCGAUUGCGAAGGCAGCAUACCGGCGCUCAACUGACGCUCAUGCACGAAAGUGUGGGUAUCGAACAGGAUUAGAUACCCCAGUAGUC
rnacentral:rRNA from 1 species